GUGAAUUAAAAUCUAUAAAAACAUGGCCUCUAAAUACUCACAAGUAUUACUUCUACUUGGAAUGAUGGUUCUUACUACUGUAGUGAGUGAUGGGCAUAAUAGUUUUGGGUAUGCGCCAAUGUUAGAUCCAGAGGAGGAUUGGCCAGACCAAUUCUUUCCACCACUUACCAUAAUUGAGGGUCGAAAGUCGCAUAGUUUUGGAUAUCCACCUAUAUUAGAUCCAGAAGAAGAUUGACCUAAUAACUAAUGAGAAAUCAUUUGUUUAUAAGCCAGUCCACAUUUCAAAGCUGUUGUAAGUACAAUUCUUUAUCAAAUGAAGUGUUUUUUUCUUCCCACUUUUGUAUAAAACUCUAAUUUUUAAGAAGUGAUGUACUAUUUGAAUAAAGGCUCUAUAAAUAUUUCUAUGUAUAUUAUAUCUCAUUUCAGCAACAAUAAUGCCUAUUACUAGUGGUUUUACCUAUGAUUAAUAUUUUGUUAUUGUCUACAAUUUAAUUAUUCAUUAUGUUAUAAAUAAUCAAUAAUUUUUUUUUUGACAAAAAAUAAUCAAUAAUAUUUGAACAUUCAUUAUUUCAAUACACUCAUUCAACAAAAUAUUUUCUUUUUGUCUAUAUUUUACAAUCACAUCAUCGAUAUAUCACCAAAAUAUUAUAUUUAUCUUAUCACAAUAUUUUUUUUUUCAAGAUAUCCUAGUAAGAACGGAUAUCCAAAAACAUUUUUUUAUAUUAAAAACCCAAAGAAAAAGAUCAAUUAGAUAACAUCUGUACGUCACAUGUUCUAGAACUAUAAACAUAAAAAUAUUCAAAUUAGUUAUGUGUAUCUAGAACAAAAGAUCCAUCUCCUUUCCUUAGACCAUCGAUAAGGUAAUCCUACCGUGGAGUAGAAAAUUUGAGGUUAAGUUGUAAUAUCCUGAUUUUUAAUAUUAAUAUGUUAAUAUAAUUAUUGGAUAAUAUUAGUAUUAUUGUCAAUUAUUAGUAUUGAUUGCUCGAUAUUAUGAAAUUAAAUUAUUCGUGAUUAUAGGUGUUAUGAAUAAUGAGGAAGUAGAGGAGUUAACUAGUUUGGUUAAAGAAUGAGAGAAAAUAAUUUUUUGGGAAGAAUAUAGUGUUUUUGGUAAGAAUAAGGAAGUAGAAUGCAAACAGAGGUGCAUUAGUAAAACUGGAUAGAAAAGAGGUGGAAGUUGCAAAGUGAUGGACAAAAUUGGCAAGUACACCAAAUUGUAAUAAGUAGUAAGUUGUAUCGUUCUUCACAAAGAUUGUCGUUCAACUCAAUAUAUAAUUUGCAAAACUUAUUUUAACACGGAAAAUAGUAAUGAUGGUUAGAAUUGCAGGGUUUAAUUGCCCGACCCAAUGCAAGAUUAGGUUUGUGUGAUUCAGAUGUGUAAUGUGAUUAGGGAAUCCGUGAAUCCCAUCUUCCUUCUUUGUUGGAUCAAUUCAAAGUCCUUAUUAAUUAAGACCUAAAAACUACAUAAACAAAGAACAAAGUACUCCCAUGAACAAUUAUGAAUAAAUAAGAAAUAAGUACUCCCAUGAACGAAUAAUUCCAGGUUGUCAAUCAUACUAAUCUUCUAUGAAUCAAUUUUCAAGAUUACCUAUACAGAUUUUCAAUUGAAAAAUAAUUACGAACAGACAAGUACAAAUUAAAUCGGACACCAGAAUAUAACUGAAUGAAAACUUUAUUAGUUGAAUCUAACAAAUAAGAAGGGGUUCAUAGUGGAACCCUAAUCAAGAGGUUUAUUUGCUCAUGGAAACAUACAUCAUAACAACAUAAAAUAAAAACAUACCCUAGGAAGAAUACAAGGAGGAGAAAUUCCUCCUUGAAUCUAUGAUGCUUGACCCUUGCUCUAAACCGCCAAUGUUUCUGAAUGAAUAAAAUAGUGUACAAGGGUCUCUAUUUAUAACGUAAGGUUGCUUAGGAUUUAAGUCGAGAAAGCUAUGAUUUUCUACCGAUCCAUGUAUGCUUGGGUUCUCUGGGUUUAUUUCUGAAGGAAUUUCCCUUCUUUAGUCCCAUGCACUUUGGGUUUUGUUGCUCAGAUUUAUUCAAGACCUUUGGAUUGGAGGAUAAUCUUGAAUACUCUUUGAACUAAAAUUUGAGUCCCGGUUGGCCAUGAAUCUAAAAGUCCUUUGUUUUGACUUAGUUAACACCUUGGAUCUUGACUUUCUUGUCUCUGAUGGGUUUUGAUUCUCUGCUUUUUCAGCAUUUGGAUUUGAGUAAAAGAGCAGACCCUUUUGAGUGCAAACAAAACAGGAUAAUUGAUUUGUCUUCACAAGAGUAUGUGUAUCCUUAACAGACGCACUUGUGAAGUCAAUUUCUCUCCCUUUUUUCUUACUAAUAUUGUGAGAUAUGGAAGCUAAUCUACUUCUAUCAAAAUCAUAAUCACUAGAUACUUCAGAUGAACUGUUGAAUUUAGUUGAAAGUAUGUCGAUUUCAUCUGGGUUAAAAGUUGCCUUAGCAUGAGAUUUUGUCUUGACAGAUAGUGAUUUUGGCGUCUCAAAGGUUUAACUCUUCUGAUAAAAAAUUAAAUUGUUUUUGCAAGUCCUUUAAGGAUCUUGAUUUGUUCAGAUAGAGUCUUAGAAGCCUUUUGACAUAAGGAAUAUACUCAUUACAGAUUUGUUCAUAGAUUACCUCAUCAUCCUCAUCUGAAUAUGAGCUUGGUUCUUCACCAGAAGAUGUUGUAACUACUAAACCCAUAUUAGCUUCCUCUUUGUUGUCCUUAGAGUCUGUAUCUUCAUCAAGCAUCUUCCAGGUUUCCAUGAAGAUUUCCUUGAGCUUUCACUUGUAGGUUUCCGUUUUGAGGUUUCCCUAUGCUGAUUAGCCCUAAUGUGCGUCAGGGAAAUCAGCUAUGAAGUGACCAUUCUUUCCACAGUUGAAGCAUCCUUUUUUAUUAUCUCUUUUGUCUGUGAAGCGGGAUGUCUUUAAGUCACUACUUCUGCUAGGAAAUCUUCUUUUCAUAGUCAAGUAAGUCAUCUCUUAAAAAUCUUCAUUAUCAUCAGAUUCAUCAUUUGAAUCCUUCUAUUCUGAUUUAGUAGUUUGAGGAGAUUUGGUGGUCUUUUCCUUAGAGGUAAAGGAAACAGACUUAGAGAGAUUGUUUGGUUCGUCACCUUCAAGUUCCAUCUCAUGGCUUUAGAGAGAAAAUAUCGGGUUCUCCAAGUCUUUUGCCUCUUGUAUGGUAGUGACUUUUGGCCUUAACCUUGCAAGAAGACUCGUAAGAAUCUUAUUUACAUGGUUUGGUGCAACAUAUCUUUUUUUUGGACCUUGAAGUCCAAAGAAAAGAGUUUGAAACCUUGAAUACAUGGUUUCAAUAUCUUGAUCCUCUUUCAUCUUGAAAAGCUCAAACUGGUAAACCAGCUGGUUUGCCAUAGCUUCCUUUACCUGCUGAUUUCCUUCGUAGGUAGAGUACAAUGAUUCAAAGAUGGACUUUCCAGUAGAUCUAUCCCCAAUCUUCGUGUAUUCAGUAUGAGGUAAAACUUCCACCAGAAUCCCUCUCACUCUAUGGUGCUUUUUAUAGAUCUUCUUUUGAGUGGCAGUCGACUUCUUCCUGUCUGUUAACAUUCCUUCUUCUUUAGCCUCAAAGCCAAGUCAAUCUUCAAUAACAUUCCAGAGUUCAUCAUUAAUCCCUAUGAUCUACCUAUAGAUUUUCCUCUUCCACCAAGACAACUGAGAGCAUCUCCAUUAAAAAAUGAAGGAUUAGCAGAAUAACUGUUCUUCUUAAUGGUGGAGAUGUUGUUGAUAUCAAGCUUGAAAGUUUCACUGAUCGAAGUCACGUCUUUCUCACUAGUUCUUUUUAUGUGGCACGGUUAGGUGACAGAGCACAUAACAGGCUCUAAUACAAACUAAAGGUGAGAAACACACAUAGGAAGGGGGGGUUGAAUUGUGGCCUUUUUGACGGUUUCUUUUUCUAAGCGUUUAAUACAGUCUUGGACAGAAUCUGAUGUUGCAGAUUCUGACUCAGAGUCUGCUUGUAGCAGAAAUACAGAACACACAGAUAAAAGAUAAAUAGUCCGAGAGAGAUAAGACAAACACAAGGCAAUUUAUAUUGGUUCCUCCCACAAAACAAGAGUAGUCUAGUUCCCUUGCACUUCUUAGGGAUUUCACUAUAAUCACUUAGAUUACAACUUGCUCAAGGAUACACCAAGAGACUUCUCAAUGCUCAAGCACACAGCAAGAGACUUCUAUGCUCUAGGACUCUAUCUAAAGACUACUUUUCUCAAGCACACUUGCAAGAGACUUCCCAAUGCUUAAGCACAACUGCUUAAGACUUUACCACUCUCAAUCACAACUAACUGACACUUUCUAGGUGCUCAAGGUUUCACUAGGAGACUUAUAUGCUCAAGCACGUAAGCAAAAGACUUUCUCAAAUAUUUGCCCCAACUACAAACAAUUUAACUUAUUCUUACACUUUUUCUAACUAGUAAGUCUAAACUGAACAAUAGUAGUGAUUUGAGAGACGUUGGAGAGGAGUGCCAACACAAAUAGAGUCAUUGACAAGCUUUGAUCAUGAACGUUGGCCUUUUGCCUGAUAUGAAUAAUCCCAAUGAAAAGUCCUUUGAAUUUCCUUUGCUAUUCGUUGUUAUCUUCGUUCCUAGUGUCCUUUGUCUGGUUGAACACGUUUAUGGAAGAAGACAAAAGAACUGCUAUAUCAGAUGCUAUGAUAGAGAUAACUCACAAAAUAAUAAAAUAGCUUAUGUGGAUUAUGGGUCCCUUAGAUCCAAGUAGCCAGUCAAAUUUUGUGUUUGAUGUCCUUCACAUGAUCUAUGGAGAUCACCCACUAGCUUAUGUGAGACUUCCUUCUUCUAAGGACGUGUACUUCUGGUUGAACUUCCAGUAGAUCUUCCACCAUAGUCUUAUAAGCUUCUCAAUCCCUUUAUGAUGCUAUUCAUAUGUUCCUUCUUCAAGGUAAGUAGAUCCUGCACACUUGAACAUAUGUUAGUAUUCCAAUUGUUCUUCAAUACUUUGUUAUCAUCAAAACCCAAGAGAAUUUAUUUGAACCAUUCUUGGUCUAACAAAGGAUUGCGUUAUUUCUGCUUGACUACUACGUUUGUGAUUAGCUUAUGUUAGGGGGGUUGCAGUUGUCAAUUAGUGUUUUUGAAGUGACAUAAAAGAGAGAGAUUAAAAGGCGACUAUGUCAAAUGAUAUUACCUUCUCUAAAAUUGUAUAGUAACUACAAGUUAUGAAUACAUUUUGGAUUGAUUCCUCGGUUUUAAUACAUUGAUGAAAGUAGUUAGGCAAUGUCUUGGUCAAUAACAAUCUUCAAUAGUUAUGACUUCCUAAUGUCUUAGGUUAGUCCAUAACCAUAGCAUGUUUAAUAACAUCAAAUUAAGUACACAAAUCUUUAUUACAAAAUAUAUAAAUUUAAUAACAACUGAACUAUUAAAUAUGUAUAAAAUGGUAGAAAUGUCAUUUCUGCGUGCACAAAAAUAAUCCCAAGAAAUGCAUAGUACCCUUUAGUGACCUUAUUUGGACAUUUUUAUUACUAAAGUAUAAAAUAUGAUAAAUAAUUUAAGUUGACGUGCUCAACACAAUAUUCUCAUAUUUGUUUUUUUUCUUAUAAAUAGAUGUCUCACUCUUUCCAUUUGUGUGAAUCAAAUUCCAUAAUAACAUGGCCUCUAAAUACUCACUAGUAUUACUUCUACUUGGAAUGAUGGUACUUACCACAGUAGUGAGUGAUAGGAGGCCAGACCUUUUCUUUGGGUAUGUGCCUGUAUUAGAUCUAGAAGAGGAUUGGCCAGACCUUUUCUUUCCACCAUCUACCAUUAUAGUGGGUGGAAAGCCAAAUAGUUUUAGAUAUCCGCCUAUAUUAGAUCCAGAAGAAGAUUAACCUAAUAACUAAUGAGAAAUAAUUUGUUUAUGAGCCUGUCCACAUUUCAAAGCUAUUAUAAGUACAAUUCUUUAUCAUAUGAAGUGUUUUUUUCUUCCCAUUUUUGUAUAAAACUCUAAUUUUUAAGAAGUGCUGUACUAUUUGAUAUUAUAAAACUCGAAUAAAGGCUCUAUAAAUAUGUCUAUGUAUAUUACAUCUCAUUUCAGCAAUAACAGUGCCUAUUACCACUGGUUUUACCUAUGAUUAAUAUUUUGUUAUUGUCUACAAUUUAAUUAUUCAUGAUAUGACAAAUAAUCGAUGAUAUUUGAUCAUUCGUCAUUACAAUAUACUUAUUCAACAUAAUAUUAUCUUUUUAGGAUUAAUAGUGUUUUUCUUCCGUAAUAUAAGUUAUUUUUGGUUUUUCCCCUGUAGUUUUUUUUUAUUUUAAUUUCAACCUUGUAAUUUGUAGAUUUUUUGUUGUAAUUUGAGCAAAUUUAGGUUUACCCCCUUGUAAUUUGAGCAAAUUUCGGUUUACCCUCUGUCAUAUCUUCAAUUUUGUACAGUCAAAAUUCAUGAAAGUCCAAAACCAAAAAUCUUCAAAUUACAAGGACAAAAUCCAAAAAAAAUAAUUUUAGAAGGGAUAAAACAUGAAAUGACCUAUAUUAUAAGGGGUAAAAUACUAUUAUAUUCACAAAGAUAUUAUAUUUAUAUUUUACAAUCACGUCAUUGAUAUAUCACAAAAAUAUUAUAUUAAUCUUAU
rnacentral:lncRNA from 1 species